rnacentral:rRNA from 1 species
CCCUUAGAUGUUCUGGGCUGCACGCGUGCUACAAUGGCGUUUCCAGCAAGUCUGCGAACCCGAGAGGGCCAGCGGAUCUUCGAAUUGGCGUCGUGAUCGGGACAGUCGAUUGCAAUUAUUUGACUCAAACGAGGAAUUCCUUGUAAUCGCGAUUCAUCAUAUCGCGCUGAAUACGUCCCUGCCCUUUGUAAACACCGCCCGUCGCUCCUACCGAUUGAGCGAUCCGGUAAAUGUUUUGGAUUGGUGCCGGGGCGGCUAGCUGCCGGUCGCUACGAAAUUUUGUGAACCUUAUCGCUUAGAGGAAGGAAAAGUCGUAACA